rnacentral:lncRNA from 1 species
GCCUGUGCUGACUCAGCCGCCCUCCCUCUCUGCACCUCCGGAUCAGCCAGACUCUCCUGCACCCUGAGCAGUGGCUUCAGUGCUGAUUUCUACUGGAUAUACUGGUACCAGCAUAAACCAGGGAGCCUCCCCAGUAUCUCCUGAGCCACUACCAAAAUUCACUUCAUGACCAGGGCUCCGGGGUCCCCAGGCACUUCUCUGGAUUAAUGGAAGGCCGGUCCAAUAAAGGGCUCUUGCUCAUAUCUGAUCUCCAGUCUGAGGAUGAGGCUUACUAUUACUGUAUGAUCGAGCACAGCAGAGC